rnacentral:lncRNA from 1 species
CAUCGCCGCCGCCAAUCAGAGUCCAGAGUUCAACACGGCAUUGAUUAACCGAACAUAGUGAUCGCGUGAGUCGUACUUGGGUCCGAGCAACAGAUGCAACGACAGUAAUGCAAGUGGCACUCGUGACCCGUGAGGACAAAUCAUGGAAUAAUUAUCAUCAGGACAUCUGACCCAGAACAAUUCUCCGCUCCUUGAUCCAUUUCGAGUUCAGUGAAUCGUCCGCUAAUUGUUCAGGAUCAGGCUUCGCGGACGGUGCAAUUUAAUUUGCUGUAAGAACGAGGAGUGGAGAGUGUUCAUGCGAUGCACCGGCUGAUAAGUUACUACCGGAACCUCGCCCGCAAGGAUCAUCAUCGUCUAAGCCGAAGACGUGGGGAAGAAAAGAAAUGAAAAAAAAAAGAAAUAAAUAAAAAACGCUAAUAACAAUAAUAGACAGAAACGAAAAGUGUAACAAUCGAAAAGAAUUCAAUUUCUUGGAUGAAUUUAACGCGGUGAUAAAAAGCAGUGAGCAGCUGGAAAGUUUUGGGUAGUUAUUUAAUUAUAUUGCUAAUUUCUACUCUUAUAUUUAAAUAUAUAUAUAUAUAUAUAUA